GCGUCCAUUGUCUAAUGGAUAGGACAAAGGUCUUCUAAGCCUUUGGUAUAGGUUCAAAUCCUAUUGGACAUA
rfam:Picea glauca, whole genome shotgun sequence.